GCUAUUAUAGUUUAAAAAAUAAAAACAGUAAUUUUGUAAAUUGAAGAUAAUUAUUUAAAUAUAUAUUUAAUAGUA
rnacentral:tRNA from 1 species